GUAUGCGACAGGAUAACUCCAACGACAUAAGAACUCCUCCGUUAAAUUUCAGUGAAUCAGUCAGUUCAUCAGCAGCAGCUGCUAAUCCUGGCAAAAAGCCAGAAAACAAUGUAAGAAGAAACACCAACAAUUAAUAAUUUCAGGAGAUCACAACAGAACUAUGUAUUACACUGGGUAAUCAAGAGUGUGCAGUCAGAAUACUCAGCACUCUUCUUUCUAAAGACGAAAUGAAAUCCUGGAAGAUGUCUUUGGGCUGUUGUCACUUUGUCCAACAGCGUCCUGGAAGAACUGCUACUUUGCAUCACCACAAUUUAAAACAUUCCAGCCACAGAGUUCCAGCACAGCAUAUCCUUUACAGAUAUGAGGAGCUAACUACAACAUUUGAUAUAAAUUCACAGGUACAGGUUGUAGAUAAUGUAGAAGAACUGGAAAAGAAAUAGAAAUUGGUGGCUCUAGUACUGCUACUCAUUCACCUUAGGGGCCUUAGGGAUUAAUAAUUCGGCAAUUUUUCCGCAAUUAUUCUUCCGGGUGCAGUUGGCUAUCACUAGGUGGCUAAAAUUAUGUCUGCUAGAUGGCGCGAGUGUCUUCGUUACUCAAGACGAAAUUCCGCCAUUUCUUAAAACACUGAUUGGAAACCACAUGUUGAAAACGUAUCGUUGGAUUGGAUACUUAAUACGGCGUACUUUUCUUUCUUGACAUUUUUAUUCGUAAUAAUGGUAUUUAUCUGGUAACAGCCUAUAAUUUCUACAUGGCAAUUUCAUCUGAUCAUGUGGCCUGAGCACCUGAACAUUUUGCCAAAAUGUUGUCUCUUUUUUCCUGUACCAGCUUCACGUUUGUCAGAAAACCUUCAGAACAAUUCGGGAUUAACACCCUGGUGGAGUUUGAGCUUCUUUGUUGCUGCCCAACUUACACGUGGAUUUGACGCAGCCAGCUGAGGGCUUUAACUCUUGUUAAGCGUUUGUAUUCGCGUAGUUGCUGUCCGAUGUGGCACGUUGUUGCAGCCUAUGAUGGUGAAAGAUCUUUCUACAUCAAGUUCAAUUGGCCGUUCCUUGGUGCUGAUGGGUUACCGAAGUUGCAUCAUAUUUUGUUAAAUUGUCAACGUGACUAUUGCAGUUUACGUUUAUAAGUUCAGAAGCAACAAAAACAAAUAUUGGAUGUUUAUGUCAACAAAUAAUAAACAUGUUUCCGACUUUCCGGGAUUGGGAAAGGAAAGUAGAGGAUGUUGAAGUGGGAGGGAGGAUAUUUCAAGUUUGGAUAAAAAUUCAUUUAAUCUAUAACCCUACAAACGUAGCCCUACCAAUUAAUCUCCAAACCCCACAAACAUAUACCUUCCAAUCCUUCAAACUCCGAAAACAUACACCUACUAACCCCUAUAAACCAAUAUUAAACCUUAACCAUGUAAUAUUUGUAAUGAAUAAAAAUAUAAUAUAUCAA